rnacentral:lncRNA from 1 species
GGUGGUGGUGGUGGUGGUAGUGGUGGUGGUGGUGGUGGUGAUGGUGGUAGUGGCACAAUUCUGAGCAGGACAUGUAUUGACCAAUUAGCAUCAACAGGGAUGAUCACUGAGUUUAUGUGUGUAGCUAUGACUUUGUGUCUCAAGAGAAUUGUGGGACUGAGAACAAUCUUUUUAAAAAUGUAAGUGUAUGUAUGCAUUUUAAAAAUCAAUCAUCUUAGUUGUACAGGUCAUAUGGUACAGUGUGGUAAUUUGCCACAGGUGUGCAAUAUAUGUUAAUCAAAUUGGGGUAGUUACCACUUCCAUCUCAACUUUUCUUCAUUAAUAUAUGGCACAUGUGCCUUUGUGGCAAAACCAAAUUUAACUGAAAAAGCCAAUGAUUGGCAAGCCUGUUGUGGCCACGGAAGUAUGGCUUUAUGGCUAUACUGAUCAGGAACGCUGGUCAAGAAGGAUGCACCAUUCACUCUAAUGGGAGAUAUGGCCAUCAAAUCAAAGAUAUGGCCCUUCAACUCAGUACACACCUCUGAGUUUGGAAAUUUCUUUUAGGAUGGAAGAUUUCCCAAGAAGGGAAAACAUUUUUUCCUUCCACAGAUGGACUGAUGGCUUGAAGAAACUUCACCUUAGAAAGGAUGGUGCUUCACUACGUUUUCCAGGAUGGUGAAGCAGGACAAGGUGGUUCCUCGUUUCGUUGUGCAGCUAACAAGUGUGCGCUCUCAUUUGCUUCUGAUUUUCUGCAGUGCUAGAGCAAUGGGCUCAAGUCACCAUUGAACACAUGCAGAAAUCAGUGGAUCCUGCAGUGGCUUCAAAGGAUAUGAUGGUGGAGGAAGACUGACCAAAGACAGGAAGGGACCAGGCUUCCCUGUUGCCAAUGACAUGGCUUCCUUCCAAAAUGCUCUACCUUUUAAAGAUACUGUUACCUCCCAGUAGCAUCAUGGGCUGAGGACAAAGCCUUCAACACAUGGACCUUUGGUGGAAAUUUGAGAUCUAAAUGGAUUUCAGACACUGGAUAUAUAAGUUCAUUGCAGAAUAUUCCAUCAGAGGACAUAUAAAAUCAAUAGUCAAUCCUCUUUUACUUAAAGAAGAAUUGGGGCAUGAUGAAAAGAAUAUGGAAGUCUUCCAAUAGCUGGG